ensembl:piRNA 21ur-4944 ncRNA
UACUCUUGCUUUUGCAGAUGU